rnacentral:misc_RNA from 1 species
CCAAACCUGGUGAAAGAUUGUGAGAAAUCACUCUCUAGAUCCGAUCGAGCGAGAGUCUUCGGACCCUCACUUAGUGGUUUUCGGAAUCACGGCUCGUGGUGUCUCUCGAGAUGCGCGACGAGUAAGUCCCCUCCUCUUAACUGAGAAAGGGCAAGCAUACAUUAAAGAAUUUCUUCUGAGUAACCGAUUAAAUAAAUCA